GCUGGGCAUGGUGGUGCACGCCUGUAAUGCCAGUGGCUUGGGAGGCUGAGGCAGGAGGAUUGCGAGUUCAAAGCCAGUCUCAGCAAUGGUGAGGUGCUAAGCAACUCAGUGAGACCCUGUCUCUA
rnacentral:sRNA from 1 species